ACUCUGAAGAGAGAGUAAACAGUACGUGAAACCGCUCAGAGGUAAACGGGUAGAUCACAACUGCAAGUUUGUGAGAUUCAGCUGUCGAGCUUUGGCUUAAUGCUCGGUAUGGGUCGGCCGUAGAGGUACGCCGCACGGUGUGUCUUCGCCUUCGGGUGAUGAUGUGUCUUGCACUUGGCAUGUGUAUCCCGCUUCUACGGUUAGUGAUCCGCUCGGCAGUGCACUUCUCACAAGAAGUCACCACGACCGGGGCGUGGCUGUCUAUCUGUCGUAACAAUGGCGUGGCAUUCGCUGAGCCGGUUGCGAUGGAGUUGUACAGUGCUUCGGAGACGGCGGCUUUCCAAGCCAAAAGUCUGUGGUGUAGUGGUACGCUCUCUACCCGACCCGUCUUGAAACACGGACC
rnacentral:rRNA from 1 species